CUAAGCACUAAGCAACAGACUCAUCCAAAGCAAUUCCUUGUCUGAGUCAAGGCCAUGUCAAUGUAUUAACACUCUGUUUACUUCAGACCAAAGUUCAGAUGAAUCAGAGAACAUCCAUGUGCCUCUGACUUCCACUUCAUGAUGCUCCUUUGGUUUAGUUAUUGAGGGAGACCCUGGCCCAGAAAACUCUAAGGAUUGAUUGCUCUUGAAGGCACAAGAAAUCACAAUUGCAAUUACCUGGCCCCAGAAGAUAUGUGUGGAUGUUGGUUUUCUGCGUGGGGCAAGGCACUUUGUUGGCUGUAAUACAACAUACCAGCACCGGAAUUUGAGGUGCAAACUCCUCCCAGGCUACAGGAUCAGAACUGCAGUCUCUAAAACAAAACAAAACAAAACAAAACAAAAACAGAAAAGCAAACCUAUGGACGCUAUCAGCUUGCAGCUGAUUCCCUGUAUGGUCACUGGGAAGCUAAGGUCAAGCUGUCAGACCACUGCCAACAGCUGCAGAAGGAGAAACUUAAAAUCGAGAGAGAGAGAGAGAGAGAAAGAAGGAAGACAAGGCAGAAAGAGCUACAAUGAAAACAAACCAGCAAAACUUGUGGGCUGUUGGCUGUUUCAGACACUGUCCUAAGUGCUUUUUCGGGUACACGCUCCGCUCCGUGAAUCGCACUGGAGCACUUUGACGUAGGUUGUG
rnacentral:lncRNA from 1 species